CCCAAAAGGGGAAUGGUGGGGUGGUGUGGGGGGGGGGGGGGUGUAUAUGUAUAAUGGAAAUACAUACAUGAUGUAGAUGAUGUCAUUAUCAUGCUACAGGCUAGAGGUGUGUGUGUGUGUGAGAUGUCGCUGACGUCAACGCUGAGUUGGCAUGUGUUUAAUGUGGAAAUAAAUAUGCAAACAGUGACAUGGGGCUCCCAAAACAGAUUUUUUUUUUUGGGGGGGGGGUAUUUUUUAGGGGUGUAACAUACUUUCCUACAGUUUACUGCUGAAACAAAAUGCUGUACGUUUAAUCAAAAAAUAAUGGUGACUGUACAUUUGUUUUUUUCAGGUAUAGCAUUUGUUAAUGCAACUUGGUUUUAACUUGUACAAUAAUGACAGCAGUGUAUGUAGUCAAAUGCACGAGCUCACUAAUAUGUCUUCAAUUCAAAUAUGUAUUCAUUUUUGAAAGCAGUCAUUAAUUGAAGAGUGCAGGCCACUAUUCAGAACAUUGCUUUACAUUUCCCAGCUGUGUGAUAUUUAAUAACACUGUUUCCUACGACUCAACAAAAAAUGUACAAGUCUCAACGACAAUUGUCCCUUGCGAUCGCUCAACUACCUUUCCUGCUCUUUUUUUUUUGGUUGUUGUUUCAAAAUCUUUCCCUUUGCCGCUACAGGAAAUAAGAUCCUCGCGACUUGUGAUGAGUGAAUUACGACAUAAUAAAUUGUAUGAUGAAUUACUUUUUCCACCGGCCCACCCUGUAAAAGUAGGAAACUGGUGCAUCCUCGUCAGUUUUGGGGUACAGUACUGCGUGCAGAAAAAAAGUGUCACAAAGUUCAUCCUCUUCACCCUAACUGCUGUCAUUGCUAUGGCGUCAGCAAAGUGUGAAAGGUGUACAUUUGGCGGAUUACAGCAAUUGAACAGGAUGCAAAAAUAUUCCCAGUGUUUAUCUGUUGUGAAAAUCAUCCCUCUCUGGCCCCAUUUUAUGCCUGUAAGUAUUGUUUAAGUUAUUACUUAUGAACUUGUCAUGGCCAAAGCUAACCAACGGCAGACUGUAGAGAAACAAGGCUAGACUGAAGAUGAUAUUUCAAUCAUCUGUACCAUGGCUAACAGAGGCUAAUGCGGAGACCCACGCAGGCUCGGGCAAAAGAGACCAUUCCAAUUACUUGGCCGCUGAUUUAACUCAGAAAAGUUAAAAAGAAGCAAUUGGAACGCUCUCUGCUUCAUGUCAAGGAUAGAAAGCUCAAGUUCGAGGUUUGGACGGUGCCAUAUGGACGGCUGCAACCAACGGCGCCCACGUGACCGCUCCCAUCAGGUCAUCAGAAACCCCCUACGGAUUGCUGCGACGUCCGCACAGGAUGCUGACUGUCACAUUUCUUUUUUUUCCUAAGGACCUCCGACACCCGGUGACCUAAAAUCAGGUAUGUGACCCCUGCCCCCCCCAAAAAAAAACAUCUCUCUUUGUGUCACACAGGGCCUACACAUUCUCAUCCUGCAUUUUGCAAUGGGGAAUCGUCAAGAAUGUCUGAAAGGAAGUCCAAUUGUUCACGACAAAACAGUCUCACCUCAUACUACAUUGUCUGUUCGCGCACAAAAAAAAAAAAAAAA